AGCGAACGUUUGCGGCGGGCCUAACACAUGCAAGUCGAACGCACUAGCAAUAGUGAGUGGCGCACGGGUGCGUAACACGUGGGUAAUCAACCCUUCAGCCUGGGAUAACGACUCGAAAGGGUCGCUAAUACCGGAUACGGCGCGAGAGGCUUCGGCUUCUCACGAGAAAGCCACGCAAGGGGCACUGAAGGACGAGCCUGCGGCCCAUCAGCUAGUUGGUGAGGUAAGAGCUCACCAAGGCUAAGACGGGUAGCUGGUCUGAGAGGAUGAUCAGCCACACUGGAACUGAGACACGGUCCAGACUCCUACGGGAGGCAGCAGUGGGGAAUAUUGCGCAAUGGGCGAAAGCCUGACGCAGCCACGCCGCGUGAGCGAUGAAGGCCUCGGGUCGUAAGACGUCUGUGGGAGAGACGAAGAAAGACCUGUGAAGAGCAGGCCUUGACGGUAGUCUCCUUAGCAAGCACCGGCUAACU
rnacentral:rRNA from 1 species